CUAAGUACAUGCCGUAUUAAGGCGAAACCGCGAAUGGCUCAUUAAAUCAGUUAUGGUUCCUUGGAUCGUACCUUACUACUUGGAUAACUGUGGUAAUUCUAGAGCUAAUACAUGCAGCAGAGCUCCGACCUUCGGGGACGAGCGCUUUUAUUAGACCAAAACCAAUCGGACUUUGUCCGUCUCUUGUGGUGACUCUGAAUAACUUUGGGCUGAUCGCACAGGCCCGUCCUGGCGACGUAUCUUUCAAGUGUCUGCCUUAUCAACUUUCGAUGGUAGGUUACGCGCCUACCAUGGUCGUAACGGGUAACGGGGAAUCAGGGUUCGAUUCCGGAGAGGGRGCCUGAGAAACGGCUACCACAUCCAAGGAAGGCAGCAGGCGCGCAAAUUACCCACUCCCAGAACGGGGAGGUAGUGACGAAAAAUAACAAUACGGGACUCUUUUGAGACCCCGUAAUUGGAAUGAGUACACUCUAAAUCCUUUAACGAGGAUCCAUUGGAGGGCAAGUCUGGUGCCAGCCGCCGCGGUAACUCCAGCUCCAAUAGCGUAUAUUAAAGUUGUUGCGGUUAAAAAGCUCGUAGUUGGAUCUCAGUUCCAGACGGGUGGUCCGCCUACCGGUGGUUACUGCCUGUUCUGAACAGCCAGCCGGUUUCUCUUGAUGAUCUUCACCGGUUGUCUUGGGUGACCGGCAAGUUUACUUUGAAAAAAUUAGAGUGCUCAAAGCAGGCGCGACGCCUGAAUAAUGGUGCAUGGAAUAAUGGAAUAGGACCUCGGUUCUAUUUUGUUGGUUUUCGGAACACGAGGUAAUGAUUAAGAGGGACAGACGGGGGCAUUCGUAUGCGACGCUAGA
rnacentral:rRNA from 1 species